ACCUGUUAACAAAUGGAUUUCAGUAGUUGUUCCCUUUUUCUUUUUAAAUCUUGUUCCAAUUAAUGUUAACUUAUUUGAUAUUUGGAAUUGGAAAAAGUACCUUUUUAGGUGCUGGUUGAAGAGCAAUCCUAGCCCUUGUGAUGAUACCAAACUGGCCUAGUCCUCCUAGUACACCAUAGAACAGGUGUUGAUUGGUACUCUAUUGAAUAAAAUAGAAAAAAUGGGAAACUGAUAUUGUGGAACUGGGGAACAGUGAGCAUGUUGUGCAUGAACAUACCAGUGACAACUUCAAGUUGGUAGACGUUAUUGGUCUGAGGUCCAUGUUUGAAUGCUUGCCCGCUGAUUCCGGCAUUCGACAAAGUGCCUCCGACUGUGAGAUACAUCAACAAAAGGCAGUUCCCCUGUGUGGAAACGCAUCACUGGUGCUCGAAGCGAUUCCAUGCUGAUUAUUACUCCUUUGUAAGCUUGAGCUUGGCCUUCUACAGAAUGACCAUGGCCUCUAGCAGCAACGGUUAGGUAAUCUUUGUUGCUUGGACACUUACCGCCGAGUGCUUUUCGGAUUCUCCAAAAGUAGUAAGUUUUUGGAGGAUCCAACAUGAGUGUGGCUACAUUUUUGGAGAGUCCGAGCAACAUAGCAGGUAACUUGCCUUAUUUGCCUCAUUUUAUCGCCUGCUAAUCCUCCUUUUAGACGAGCUGAUUGAGUACGGUCUCGGUGUAUGAAAGUCAAGACUUUUUUAUAACAAUCCUUUAUAACGACACUUCACUGUAAUAGUCAAGUCCUUUUUUUGGAACCGAUUUGUCAUGUUAUAUUAUAUGUUCUUUAUAGCGAUAAUUCGUCAUAGCAGUCAAAAAAUAGCCGGACAACAACGCCCUUAUGAGGAGGUUUAUCUGUUAAGACACUUCAACUUUUCCAUGGGAUCUACUGAUAAUGUCAGGGAUCUGUUUCUUGAUGGAGAGGGUUUGGAGAUGGGAGGCCCCUACCAAGUCACCUGUUGUUAGGUCUGAUAAGUAUGGCCUGAGUUGAAAAAAGAGUGAGAGAUCAGGCUUAGUGGUGGUCCUGAGCUUGUCACUUUGGAAAUUAUUUUUACAUUCUUUUUGGUGAUGAAAGUUUGGAGAAAUGACGUGUGAAAGAAAAGAUAUGUUUGCUGCUCAAAAUGUUUUUAUUUUGAACUUUCUGACACAUUUGCAUAAUAUUAAAAUGGAUUCGGUGUGUUUGAUAUGGAGGAAAAUAUUUCUCAAAGGAUAUUUUUUAACUUUCUCAUGUUUGAUUGGGUCAAAGUAUUUGAAGGACUUUUCUCUCCUCCCAAUCCUCCACCUCCAUCCUCCACAGCGUUUGCCUAAUUAUAUGCAAUUGCUUUUGUGAUCAUAUUUUCAGCUUAUUUACUUAUCAAACAACAGAAAAUAAGUAAGACGGGCAGCCUUUGUAGUGCUCGAAUAUAAAGUAAUGAAUUUUGUGCAAUGUCAACAAAGUCGUGAUGUAGUGGGACAGUUUGGAUUGUGACAACUCGGUCGGUGGGGCAACUCGAAAGAAUGGGGGACGACCUGACCCAAUUUACAUCAGAAAUCACCAACAUGAGCCAAAAUAAAAUCUUGGAUUGCGUGCUUUUAUACAGUUCGGAUACAAUAUUAUCUACUUUUGAAACAAGAAUUAAAGCAGUAAAUCUCUGAGCCCCUUAUCUUCGUGAAGGAAAAAUCAGACAAUUUGGAGGAGUUGGAUUAGUCGAGUGAGAAAGUCAACUUCAAAGUAAAUUUGUUAGGCAAAAAGUCGUAAUGACCCGUGGUCGCCUGCUUGGUGGGGGCUCCUCUUUUCCGGGUAAACGGGAGGCUCUUUUUUGCUGGUAAACGGGAAACCUAACUCUACAAAACUAAAUAUUUUUCAAGGAAAUAUAUUUUGGGAAACUUUUUUUCAUGGAAAAUAUUUUCUUCCGUGCUAAACACACCAUAGAGUAAAAGUUAUAGAACAAAAAGAAUCACAUCCAAUGAAAAAAUUAAAGAAGAAAGAAUCUAAAGGACUUAGUUUGGCAGCUUUUUGCUGGUCUAUUUAAUUUCUCUAUUAUGUCUAUGUUCUUUUUCUCAAUGAAUCUACAAAAAGACCAUCUGAAGAUU